CAGCCGCCGCGGUAAUACCAGCCCCGCGAGUGGUCGGGACGGUUAUUGGGCCUAAAGCGCCCGUAGCCGGCCCGGCAAGUCCCUCCUUAAAGCCUCGGGCCCAACCCGAGGACGGGGGGGCUACUGCCGGGCUAGGGGGCGGGAGAGGCCGGCGGUACUCCCGGGGUAGGGGCGAAAUCCGUUAAUCCCGGGAGGACCACCAGUGGCGAAGGCGGCCGGCUGGAACGCGCCCGACGGUGAGGGGCGAAAGCCGGGGGAGCGAACCGGAUUAGAUACCCGGGUAGUCCCGGCGGUAAACGAUGCGGGCUAGCUGUGGGGCGGGCUUAGAGCCCGCCCAGUGGCGCAGGGAAGCCGUUAAGUCCGCCGCCUGGGGAGUACGGCCGCAAGGCUGAAACUUAAAGGAAUUGGCGGG
rnacentral:rRNA from 1 species